rnacentral:rRNA from 1 species
ACACAUGCAAGUCGAGCGGUAGAGAGAAGCUUGCUUCUCUUGAGAGCGGCGGACGGGUGAGUAAUGCCUAGGAAUCUGCCUGGUAGUGGGGAAUAACGUCCGGAAACGGACGCUAAUAACGCAUACGUCCUACGGGAGAAAGCAGGGCACCUUCGGGCCUUGCGCUAUCAGAUGAGCCUAGGUCGGAUUAGCUAGUUGGUGGGGUAAUGGCUCACCAAGGCGACGAUCCGUAACUGGUCUGAGAGGAUGAUCAGUCACACUGGAACUGAGACACGGUCCAGACUCCUACCGGAGGCAGCAGUAGGGAAUAUUGGACAAUGGGCGAAAGCCUGAUCCAGCCAUGCCGCGUGUGUGAAGAAGGUCUUCGGAUUGUAAAGCACUUUAAGUUGGGAGGAAGGGCAGUAAAUUAAUACUUUGCUGUUUUGACGUUACCGACAGAAUAAGCACCGGCUAACUCUGUGCCAGCAGCCGCGGUAAUACAGAGGGUGCAAGCGUUAAUCGGAAUUACUGGGCGUAAAGCGCGCGUAGGUGGUUCGUUAAGUUGGAUGUGAAAUCCCCGGGCUCAACCUGGGAACUGCAUUCAAAACUGACGAGCUAGAGUAUGGUAGAGGGUGGUGGAAUUUCCUGUGUAGCGGUGAAAUGCGUAGAUAUAGGAAGGAACACCAGU